rnacentral:rRNA from 1 species
UACAGAGGUCUCAAGCGUUGUUCGGAUUCAUUGGGCGUAAAGGGUGCGUAGGCGGCGCGGUAAGUCGGGUGUGAAAGCCCCCGGCUCAACUGGGGAGGGUCAUUCGAUACUGGUCGACUCGAAGGCAGGAGAGGGAAGCGGAAUUCCCGGUGUAGUGGUGAAAUGCGUAGAUAUCGGGAGGAACACCAGUGGCGAAGGCGGCUUCCUGGCCUGUUCUUGACGCUGAGGCGCGAAAGCUAGGGGAGCAAACGGG